UACGUAGGGUGCGAGCGUUGUCCGGAAUUAUUGGGCGUAAAGGGCUCGUAGGCGGUUUGUCGCAUCGGGAGUGAAAACCAUGGGCUUAACUCAUGGCUUGCUUUCGAUACGGGCAGACUAGAGGUAUGCAGGGGAGAACGGAAUUCCUGGUGUAGCGGUGAAAUGCGCAGAUAUCAGGAGGAACACCGGUGGCGAAGGCGGUUCUCUGGGCAUGAUCUGACGCUGAGGAGCGAAAGUGUGGGGAGCGAACAGG
rnacentral:rRNA from 1 species